GACGAACGCUGGCGGCGUGCUUAACACAUGCAAGUCGAACGGAAAGGCCCUGCUUUUGUGGGGUGCUCGAGUGGCGAACGGGUGAGUAACACGUGAGUAACCUGCCCUUGACUUUGGGAUAACUUCAGGAAACUGGGGCUAAUACCGGAUAGGAGCUCCUGCUGCAUGGGGGGGGUUGGAAAGUUUCGGCGUUUGGGGAUGGACUGGCGGCUUAUCAGCUUGUUGGUGGGGUAGUGGCUUACCAAGGCUUUGACGGGUAGCCGGCCUGAGAGGGUGCCCGGCCACAUUGGGACUGAGAUACGGCCCAAACUCCUACGGGAGGAAGCAGUGGGGAAUAUUGCACAAUGGGCGGAAGCCGGAUGCAGCAACGCCGCGUGCGGGAUGACGGCCUUCGGGUUGUAACCCGCUUUCGCCUGUGACGAAGUGUGAGUGACGGUAAUGGGUAAAGAAGCACCGGCUAACUACGUG
rnacentral:rRNA from 1 species